UCUUUUUGUGAGGAUUAAAAGUGAUUAAUGGUUUUCUUGUGAAAAAUUACAAAAAAUAAAAAAAAAUAAGUCAAAAAUGUUUAAGUUGAUUUGUUGCUUAAUUUUAUUAAGUUUUGUUACUUAUGCAAAUUGCAAAAACAUUUCGAAGCGAGUAGCCAAGGUAGUUGUAAGACAUGGAAUUUUAGAUUGUUCUGGGAAUUAUUUAGAAUGGCUCAAAGCUGAAAACAUCGAAGAUCUGGACAAUUGUGUACAUCGUAAAGAUUCAAGUUAUGUAGAUGCCUGUGGUAACAAACGUUGUUAUAAGGAACUUGGUCAAGCCUGCGGAAAUGAUUAUCGCGGUAGAUGCUCCAAACACGACGUUUGUUUUGAGGGCAUUUGUCAUCGAGGUCCCGUUGAGGGAAAAAGAAACUACAUUAUCGAAAAUGAUCUUGAACCAAAUGUUGAAAAUUACGUCGAUGAUGGCACUGAAAGUGAAAAUGAUGAGUAUGAAGUCGAGUUUUUGAAUCGUGCUUUGCAACGAAUUAAAAAUCGAAUUGAAAAAAAUCCAAAUUUUUUAAAAUGAAAACCAUAACAAUUGAAAUUAUUUGACAAACAAAUUUUUCAGCUUCCAAAUGUGCUUUUAA